AACGCGAAGAACCUUACCUGGGCUCGAAAUGCUAUGGACAGUCUGUGAAAGCGGAUCUUCCCGCAAGGGACCGUAGUAUAGGUGCUGCAUGGCUGUCGUCAGCUCGUGUCGUGAGAUGUUGGGUUAAGUCCCGCAACGAGCGCAACCCUUGUCCUGUGUUGCCAUCAUUUAGUUGGGAACUCGCAGGAGACCGCCAGGGAUAACCUGGAGGAAGGUGGGGAUGACGUCAAGUCCUCAUGGCCUUUAUGUCCAGGGCUACACACGUGCUACAAUGGACGGUACAAAGGGCUGCCAACCCGCAAGGGGGAGCCAAUCCCAAAAAACCGUUCUCAGUUCGGAUUGCAGGCUGCAACUCGCCUGCAUGAAGCUGGAAUCGCUAGUAAUGGCGGAUCAGAACGCCGCCGUGAAUACGUUCCCGGGCCUUGUACACACCGAGACGAC
rnacentral:rRNA from 1 species